ACUCUGAAAGAGACAUGUUGGCACAUCUUGACUUCAUUACCAGCACUUUUAUUUAAUGGAAAACUCUGCGCUGAUUGUUUUGAUCAGCAAAAAAAAGCAGCGUCUGAAGAACACUUGGCAUUAAAACUGCACAAACAAUGGCAUGCUACAAUCAGAUAAGCAGCAACAACACUAGGAUCACCUGGAAUUUAUGUACAGAUUCGGAUGUUAUCUAUCUGAAGAUAUCUAUGGACACAGAUAUGUAGACAUGUCUGACUUUCUGCAACAGAUAAACGUGAAGAAACUCUUCACCUUAAAUCGCGUCUUGCUUUGGUGGUAUUUAAUAGCACGUUUCUGUACAACCCAUGCUGGAAGACUGCCUUCAAGAAACGAAUCUGCCCGCUUUGACAGCUCGAUAGUGGGUGAUUGAUGACUAUCCAGAGAACACAGUCUACAUAAUAUAAUAUCUCCCGCAUAAUUGCUUCAAUUUACAGAUGAAAGUACGUGUUCUCAAAUUGAGUUAGCCUUUGUAAAACAGUAUUUUGACAUAUUAGGUUUUAAAAAAAAAUGAAAAUUACCUGCAUUUAAAAUAUCCAAAGGGAUCCGCGACCGUGGGGUUUUACAGUAUGAAGACACGUGCAGUUGAAUGUUUCAAACUGUAUAGAUCGCUAUCUUCCAAUUAGAUUUAUAGGUGAUCUGCAAGAAGCUGAAAAGGUCAUUAAAAAGUUUUAAAAUAACAUUCUCCUUUGCGGAAAUUAACUCACAAAUAGCAAAGGAAGUUUUAAAAUCAUUUAAUCUGGGAACAGUAAUUGCAACCCGAGCUUUCAGAUGAUAUACUCUAGUGCAAUAUCAUACCUUCAACACGGGAAUGCAUUUCUACAGGUGCACAAUAUUUCACCAUUUGCACGCACAUCGCUGCAAUCGUUUACUUACAAACACAUUUACCCUUCCCAGUGAGUCUUGAUGUCAUUGCCUUCUACGUACCAGCACAGAGGCCACUUGAGAAUUGUAAAGAUAGGAAAUGCGACCUGAUGACCCUUGAACUGGAAGGAAGUUAACAUACAAAAGUCAUGUAGCCAGACAUAAAGAAGAGCUGCAGACAAAGGGCAGCCACAGUGGAAAGGAGAAUGGACAAGAUACACUUGCAGUAGCUGUGCGUAAUACAGUCAAACAGGACAGAAAGCCGAAGGCAGGGUUCGAACAGGAAUCGUAAAUUGGAUAAUUUUACUGCUCCUGCUUCAGUUUUGUCAGAGUCGGCCAGACCGUUCAACGGGAUUUAAAUGGGGUUUAUUAAGGGGGUAGAUAAAGGAGUCUCUGGGGAAACAGUGCCAGGAAGACUGUCAUAAACCUAGCCAAGGAAGUUCUGUGGGUGUGUGCCAUUUGGCUGACAACUGUCUCAGGGGACCUUUAAUGGAAUAUGGCUUCCAGUAAACGUAAUUCAAGGGGAAAAAAAAAAUCAAUUGAGUAGGAAAAUGAGAGAUCCUAUGUACCAAGGCUGAGUUAGAGAACUUUGGAACUGCACAUAGUGCCACAUGUUUCCAGGAAGUGCUGUGGGUGCUUCUGGUCAUGGUUGUCUAAGGCAUAUUUGUUGUAAUGACCGUUUAAAUUUAAAUUUACCUUUUUAU